CGUAUGUCAUACAACACGUUUGGUGAAGGAGAUUCGGAGCAUCUGGACCGUUUAAUCCAAAUCCGAUGAUAUAUAACGGCUGAUGGUACAUCGUCUCAACGGUUUCUUAGCUAAUUACCCUUCCAUGCCACCGAUAAGUCACAAAUACCGGUUGAGAACACACCGCACAACACAAGGGGAAGAAUUCCCCAACCUCCUCACGUUGACCUCCUCCCAUGGAACCCUAAGCACAGGGUGCAGCCGCCACCCCUCCUGUCUCUCACCGCGCCACAGCAGCCCUGCCGCCGCCACUCCGCCCAGCACGCCACCGCCUCCUGCCACCUCCUCUGGGGUCUUCCCCAUCACAUCUCCUCCCCAGACCCGGUGCUUCCUUCUCAUUCCCGUCCUCGGCAUCGAGAUCCAAGGAGAUCACCACCAGUCCUACAUCUCUCUCUGGAUGCCGGAUGAAAUCGAGAUGGAAUGGAGUCCGCCUGGCCUUCUCCCUCCACGUCGCCUCUUUUUCUGGCAGCUGGAGGUCGCGAAGUGCCUCCUGAGUGAGGACAUGUCCGUGAUCGGCAAGGGCCCCUACACCGUGCUCAACAUUCUCAACCGCCAUCGCCAAUCUCCCCGGUACGGAGAUAUAUCUUCUGUUAAAGAGGUUUGGAGACACACUGGCCCCGGGUCGCUUACGCACGGGGCGACUCGGGGAAACACUAGCCGCCGCCGACGGGCUCCCCUGUUUUGAGCCACCUCCUGCUGCCAAAGGCUCUGGGAGCGAGCUGCCCUGGAGGCGUCGAGGAGGUUGUCGUGCUGGCCUGGUCGGAGGCGCUUGUCGCCGGGUCGGCCGGCGAGGCGUCGGGUUGUGCUGGGCGCUGGGGCGGCGACCCCGGGAUUUCACGGCGGAGGAGGCGGCUGUCGUGGCUGCGCGAGCAACACGAUGGUCAUAUCUGGGUGCUUCCGGCCUGCAGCCCGACGACUCUCGGCUCCAUGCCCGCCAUGAUUAUAGUGCAAAAGAUGAAGAUGCUAACGAUCACAAGGCUAACAUAUUAUUUUAGAAGCUGGCCAUGAACUUGUACUAGAAAUUGCCACAUAUAUUUUGAUAACCAUCUGCUUCUUUGGCUCUUGGGGUCCUAUGUUAGCUUUCUUAUUAUAUAUUCUUAUAGUUUAUCUUGUAGAUCAUGUCCAAACCUAAUGGGUGAUAUUCGAGAUGUGUUGUGCAUAUCAUGUACGUUUUACUAACAAAAUUCUGAAAGAAAAAAUGGUCUUAAUUAAAAAAUCAAUUUCUUGAUUUUUUUUUCCUAUUUUAAAUAAAAGGUUGUUAUUUUUUGAAGGUAGGUUGUUCAGUGUGGUGAUGAUUGCGAGCACGGAGGAAGGGGUGAGGUGGUGAAGAUGAGAGUGGUGGGUGCUGGUCGACUGUGCCUGCCUGGUCUGAGUGGAACUACUGCCGCAAUAUGCAAGCAACUCAGAUGUGUCUAUGUCCCUCUACAUUUUCAUUGAUGCUCGCCUUGAUGUCUGCAUUGAUUCAGGUGUGCAUGCCUUAUGUUCGAGUGAGAGACAUAUAUUUGUCACAAACUAUUUCAAUACAUCCCAUGUUUAGUGCUUCUGACUUAGCUAUUCUACACAUGUAUAAAUAAUGUACCUCUACAAGUAGGGCCUCACUCCUCACUUUACUUAUUUCUCCUAUUGAUAGUACAUGAAUAGUUUCUUGAUGCUAACUAGCUCAAAUUGGAAUUUGUGAUGUACAUUUGGAAGGGGUGCAUAAGUGUUGUCGGGUCUACCCAAUCCAACACCAAACGUAGGCUUUUCACACCUCGAAUGGGAUAGGUUGUUUCUAAUCCUAGAAUUCUUGUCUGCUGAUUUCCUGUGAACCUAUCCUAAACUUUCUUAUUGACAUGUUGAAUGGGCCAGUUGUGCUAACUUUGGUUGUAUUCUCAUGGCUCCCCCUUUUUAUCCAUGCCAUGGUAUAUCAGUUUAUCUGCAUGAGUGAAUGUAUGAGUUCAUUUCUUUUAUUAAGAUGAUUUUGAUGAGUUCAUCUAUACCGAAGCAAUCCUCAUCUAAUUUUUAAUUUCUUCACGGUUAGUGUGGGCCUGCUACAGGCGGCUGAUCAAGGGCGAUGCCGACAAAGAUGGAUAGAAGAUGUGCAAGCAGGUUAUCGCGAGGAGCUGGGAAAUAUUUUCUUGAUGUCCACUUAUGAAUUUGUUCUAACCUCCGUAUGUGCUAGCGUAUAAAAAAAAUUCGGAUCUGUGAGGUACAGGCUUUGUCUGCAGUGACCAGAUUUUCCAUUUGGCAUGCUAUAUAACUUCACCAGUUCAUACUGAACUAAGUUACUCAUGUCAUCCUGUGCAACAACUGCUGGUGUUGAAUGUGUUCAUGCUAUACAAAACUUGUUAAAUCAAGAAACUCUUUGUUUUUUUUGUGUUAUAUACUACAGAAGUUGUGAAGUUUCAAGUGCAUAACCUUGCUGCUUAUUUUCCACUCUUCUCAACCUUACAGUGUUGCAGCAGAUAUUCAGACAAUGCUUGAAGAUACGAUGUUGAAUUUUGAGAAGGAAAGGUAACUCAAGCUUGUGUGAACUGUGAAAUAGUGCUCAUAGUUACCAGUUGUCUUUUUGCAAGAACAAUUUCGCUUUAAACCCUAUUUGGUUUCUGAAAAGUAAAAGUUCAUAUUUAUUUAGAUUGUAAACUAAGUGUUCUAUGUUCAUGUGCAGGCAGAUUUUUCUGAAAGUACUUUCAAACACUUCCAUAGAGGUGUUCAAUUUAAAAUUCUUACAGCUUGAUAUUUACUGAUUUACAUACGUUAAAUGAUGACAAGUAAUUUGCAUUGUAUGUAGUUUUAAAGUUCAUUCAACGAGUACACCAAACUGAAACAUUCUGGUCAUGUUGUAGCAAUAAUAUUUCUUAUUUUUUAACUUAGCAGAAUAUAUUCACAUUUGGAUUAUAUCUAACUAUUACCAUGCAAGUUACAGACUCCCUUCAUUUUUUUUGAGGGACAGACUCCCUUCGAUUAUUAAUCCCAUAGUAAUACGAACAAAAUAAAUACUAGCUGUCCCUCUUGAAGGAUCCAACUUGUAAGGUCCAGCUCAUUCUUAUAGCCUUUCAAAAAACCCGCUCUCUCCUUUAUCAUCUCUUGGUAAUUCUGCUAUUUGCUUCACCGAUAAAACAAUCCGUCU